AAAGACCCCGGGGCUCUAUAACCUGGGGAAACUGUCACUACUAAGAAACUGUGCGCAGGUAGAUCGUAUGAGGGGGUGGGGUGGAAUUUCCGUGGUACGGUGUAAACGGUAGUAUGGGGAACCGUGUGCGAGGCGCCACCUGGGAAACUGCAUAGGUGCGAAAGCGUGGGGAGCAAACAGGAUUAGAUUCCUGGUAGUUCCGCCGUAAAGAUGUUGAUACCGUUGGGAUCCUUGAGAUUUAGUGUCGCAGCUACGCAUUAAGUUGCCCCUGGGGAGUCGGCCCAAGGUUAAAAUCAAAUGAAUUGCGGGGGCCGCCCACGGUGGAGCAUGUGGUUUAAUUUGAAGCAACGAAGAACCUUCCAGCCUUCAUUCAGAGAACUUUCCAGAGAUGGAUUGGUCCUUUGGGAAUCUGACACAGGUGCAUGGCGUUGUCAGCUCGUGUCGUGAGAUGUUGGGUUAAGUCCCGUAACGAGCGCCACCCUUGUCCUUAGUUCCACUUAGUUGGGCACUCUAAGGAGACUGCCGGUGACAAACCGGAGGAAGGUGGGGAUGACGUCAAGUCAUCAUGGCCCUUACGCGGGCUACACACGUGCUACAAUGGUGUACAAAGGGUGCCAACGCGAGGCAGCUAAUCCCAUAAAACCGAUCGUAGUCCGGAUCGCAGUCUGCAACUCGACUCGUGAAGUCGGAAUCGCUAGUAAUCGUGAUCAGAAUGUCACGGUGAAUACGUUCCCGGGCCUUGUACACACCGCCCGUCACACCAUGGGAGUGGGUUGCUACCAGAAGUAAGUAGUCUAACCUUCGGGGGCGGUUCCAC
rnacentral:rRNA from 2 species